UACGGAGGGUGCAAGCGUUAAUCGGAAUUACUGGGCGUAAAGCGCACGCAGGUGGCUGAGUCAGUCGAUUGUGAAAGCCCUGGGCUUAACCUGGGAAUUGCAUUUGAUACUGUCGUGCUUGAGGCCGGGAGAGGAUGGCGGAAUUCCCAGUGUAGAGGUGAAAUUCGUAGAUAUUGGGAAGAACACCAGUGGCGAAGGCGGCUAACUGGUCCAGAUCUGACGCUGAGGUGCGAAAGCGUGGGGAGCAAACAGG
rnacentral:rRNA from 1 species